UGAAGCAGUUCUUUUGUUGAGUUGGUCGGAUCGGCGUUAGUAUUAAUAAAAGGUUCCCAAUCGGUGCUCUCAAAACUUGUGCAGAGGUUAUUCAGACCCGCCUGGGUAAUUGGUCUGAAUUGAAUAUGGUCAUCGUGCACAGAGGAAACAUCAAAGUGUAAUUCCAUAAAAACAGCGGAAUAAUCAGAGAGUGCUGGAUCCUCACUGCCCGCAGUGAACAGAGUGGGGGAUAUAUUGACGAGGAAAUUAUCAAUGCAACUUGACGUAGUUUCAGUUAUACGGGUAUGGUCAGCGACACUAGGGGAGAUUCCAAAGGUGGCAAAGUAGAGGUCAUUUAAAAGAAGUUCUAGCCUGGAUAUAAAUAGAUAAGGGUCGCCGUGGCUCCCCGAUCUAUAUACAUUGAUAACUACGGUAUUUUUGUGGGUUAAUUCAAUGCCGCAAAAUUCGGCAUGGAUGUCUAGUGAGUAUUUAUCUAAAUCUAAAGUUCUACAGUUGACUUUGUGUUUGCUAUAAAUUGAUACGCCCCCUCUGACCGCAGUCUGACGGCAUCGAAAGCUUUUCAAUAGAAAAUUAUUUACACAUAUUGAUUUUAAAAGUUCUUCAUCACAGACAAAGUGUUCAGAUAGACAGAGAAUAUCUACAUUUUUAUCCAGCAAAUAACCGUUGAAGUACCUUUAUUACUUGGGUUGCUGCCCCGAAGCACGCCGACCGAAAAAACGAUUCACGAGCACUCCAGUGGGCC